CCUAUGCUUUGACCUCGAGUGGGAAGUGAGAGAGAAAGAAAGAGGAAAUGACUCUGAGUUGGGACAAAGCACAGAGACUGCCUUGGCUCUGCUGCCGAGAUCAUGCUGCAUACCCUGCCCCCACAAAAAUUCCCUUAUCCCACUAGAUCUACCCAUUGGUCUAAAUUAAACUGAAAUAUCCCGCAAAUACCCACAGCGUUGGCUGCUACAUGUCCUUAGGAAGCAGCU
rnacentral:lncRNA from 1 species